CACGUAGGGCGCAAGCGUUGUCCGGAAUUAUUGGGCGUAAAGAGCUCGUAGGCGGUCUGUUGCGUCCGCUGUGAAAACUCGGGGCUUAACCCCGAGCCUGCAGUGGAUACGGGCAGACUAGAGGUAGGUAGGGGAGAAUGGAAUUCCCGGUGUAGCGGUGAAAUGCGCAGAUAUCGGGAGGAACACCGAUGGCGAAGGCAGAUCUCUGGGCCGUAACUGACGCUGAGGAGCGAAAGCGUGGGGAGCGAACAGG
rnacentral:rRNA from 1 species